GCGUCGGUGGUGUAAUGGUCAGCAUGGUUGCCUUCCAAGCAGUCGACCUGGUUCAAUUCCCGUCCGACGCA
rnacentral:tRNA from 1 species